UUAAAAAACACAAUUAUUUUUUCCUCUUCUUCUCCAGCGAGCAACAACAAAGAAAAAUUGGGAAAAGUAAAGGGAGUUUGUUGAAGAUCCAGCAACAAAAAACAACAAGAAAUCCAGCAAAAAAAAAAAACAAAAUUUCAGAUUCAUCUCUUCUCAUACAACAACAAACCCAGCCAUAUCAAACAACAAUAAAUCGUCGUCGCCGUUAAAAACCAAAAACAACAGCAGCAGCUAUUACCACCGUUAAUCCCAUCGCCGCCGUUAAACCCACUGUCGCCGCCGUCACAACCAUUGCCACCGCACGCGACCUUGAACCAGAUCUGUGUUUAUGGGUUUGGGAAGAGAAGAGAAGGAAGGAAAAGAGGAAAAUAAGAUCUGUGUUUCACGGAAUGAGAAUUUAAUUUUUUGGGUUGAUGCUGACGCUGAUGUUGUUUGUUGA
rnacentral:lncRNA from 1 species